rnacentral:rRNA from 1 species
UACGUAGGGAGCAAGCGUUGUCCGGAUUUAUUGGGCGUAAAGAGCGUGUAGGCGGCCAUACAGGUCAGCUGUGAAAACUCGAGGCUCAACCUCGAGACGUCGGUUGAAACCGUAUGGCUAGAGUCCGGAAGAGGAGAGUGGAAUUCCCGGUGUAGCGGUGAAAUGCGCAGAUAUCGGGAAGAACACCCGUGGCGAAGGCGGCUCUCUGGGACGGUACUGACGCUGAGACGCGAAAGCGUGGGGAGCGAACAGG